GUCUACGGCCAUACCACCCUGAAUGUGCCCAGUCUCAUCUGAUCUCGGAAGCUAAGCAGGGUCAGGCCGGUUAGUACUUGGAUGGGAGAAAUAAAUUAAGUGAUUAUCAUUGCAUAUU
ensembl:rRNA 5S_rRNA 5S ribosomal RNA